GCUAAACGCGAAGAACCUUACCAAGGCUUGACAUAUACGAGAACGCUGCAGAAAUGCAGAACUCUUUGGACACUCGUAUACAGGUGGUGCAUGGUUGUCGUCAGCUCGUGUCGUGAGAUGUUGGGUUAAGUCCCGCAACGAGCGCAACCCUCGUUCUAUGUUGCCAGCGCGUUAUGGCGGGAACUCAUAGGAGACUGCCGGGGUCAACUCGGAGGAAGGUGGGGAUGACGUCAAAUCAUCAUGCCCCUUAUGUCUUGGGCUUCACGCAUGCUACAAUGGCCGGUACAAAGGGCUGCAAUACCGCAAGGUGGAGCGAAUCCCAAAAAGCCGGUCUCAGUUCGGAUUGAGGUCUGCAACUCGACCUCAUGAAGUCGGAGUCGCUAGUAAUCGCAGAUCAGCAACGCUGCGGUGAAUACGUUCCCGGGUCUUGUACACACCG
rnacentral:rRNA from 1 species